GGCGGCGUGCCUAAUACAUGCAAGUAGAACGCUGAAGGAGGAGCUUGCUUCUCUGGAUGAGUUGCGAACGGGUGAGUAACGCGUAGGUAACCUGCCUGGUAGCGGGGGAUAACUAUUGGAAACGAUAGCUAAUACCGCAUAAUAGUAGAUGUUGCAUGACAUUUGCUUAAAAGGUGCAAUUGCAUCACUACCAGAUGGACCUGCGUUGUAUUAGCUAGUUGGUGAGGUAACGGCUCACCAAGGCGACGAUACAUAGCCGACCUGAGAGGGUGAUCGGCCACACUGGGACUGAGACACGGCCCAGACUCCUACGGGAGGCAGCAGUAGGGAAUCUUCGGCAAUGGACGGAAGUCUGACCGAGCAACGCCGCGUGAGUGAAGAAGGUUUUCGGAUCGUAAAGCUCUGUUGUAAGAGAAGAACGAGUGUGAGAGUGGAAAGUUCACACUGUGACGGUAUCUUACCAGAAAGGGACGGCUAACUACGUGCCAGCAGCCGCGGU
rnacentral:rRNA from 1 species